CGCGUGAUUCGGCGGCAUUCGCCAUCUUGGUUCUCGGCCUCUUCGCUGACGUCGCGGCCUCCAUGAUGUGGAGCUUUUUGGCGGGAAGCGGCUGCCGAGAGCCGCGAAAUGGCGGACGCCGCCGCGGAGGAAAAUCUCGCGAGAGCGGCAAAAGGCGGGGGUGGAAAAAGGGGCGGGAACCAGACGAGCGAGGGGGCGGGGCCAACGCUAGUGUCGUCACUCAGAAAGCUGGCGGGAGGGAAGGAAGGAAAACCCGGAAUCCGGAACCAUGGAAUGGAGCUUCUGGAAGAAAGGGAUUCUGGAUUUGUUUUGCCAAAGGCUUUCAUGGCUAGAAUCACUGGGUUGCUGUGAGUUUUCCGGGCUGUCUGGCCAUGUUCCAGAAGCAUUCUCUCCUGACGUUUCGCCCACAUCUAUGACAGGCAUCCUCAGCGAUUGUGGGGUCUGUUGGAAACUAGGCAAGUGAGGUUUAUAUAUUUGUGGGAUAAUGUCUAGGGUGGGAGAAAGAAAGAACUCAUGUCUGUUUGAGGCAGGCUCAAUGCUAUGAAAUUAUGGGAUUUGUAGUUUGGCGAGGCAGAGGAGGCUAAAGAUGUGUAUAUUUAUAAGUGUAUUUUAAUGAACGUCUAAUGUAUUUAAUUUUAAUUGAUUCGCAAUAUUAUUUAUAUAUAUAUAUAUAUAUAUAUAUAUAUAUACAUUUUAUAUAAUAUUAUAUAAUAUAUAUAUAAUAUUAUUUUAUAUAUAAUAUAUUUUAUAUAUUGAUUCACAAUAUUAUUUUAAAAAUAUUAUUUUUAUAUAUGUGCUUUUAUUGUAAGCUGCCCUGAGUCCCCUAUUGGGGUCUGUAAUAAAUAAAUAAUAAAUAAAGACUGCAGAAACCCAAACUCCCAGGAUCCCAUAGCAUUGAGCAGGUGGAAGUGGGAUCAAACUGCAUUAAUUCUGCAGUGCAGAUGCACCCAAAGAACCUUCAUUCUUUGUUGACUUUGACUUUCUUUGGGGAAGGUUUGCCGUGGGCUUUGUUUGAGGCUGAGAGAGUGUGAUUUGCGUAAGCACGGGUUUCUUUAGCAUCCAAACUGCUCUAUUGGCCUUGUGUGUGUCUGCAGGUCUGGGAUUAAUGUGAUUAGACCCCAACUUCUUCAACCACUGUUGCUGAAUGCUAUUGAGUUGUGGGAUUUGUAGUUUCCCAAGGCCCUUUCUCCUUCUCUGCCAAACUGCAAAGCCCAUGACGGGCUGCCUCCCAUCCAAGUAUCAUCCGGGGCAGACCCUGCUAAGCUUUGGUUGGCCUUCGGGGCCAUUUGUUUGUGUGUUUUGUUUAAAUCUUUCCGGUUUGUCAAUGAAGGUAAUUAAAGUUAUUUUCUUAACCCAAUUUAAAAAGAACCCAGUGUCAAAAAAUAUACCGUAGAGUCUCACUUAUCCAAGGUUCUGGAUUAUCCGAGGCAUUUUUGUAGUCAAUGUUUUCAAUACAUCAUGAUAUUUUGGUGCUAAAUUCGUAAAUACAGUAAUUACUACAUGGCAUUAUUGCGUAUUGAACUACUUUUUCUGUCAAAUGUGUUGUAUAACAUGAUGUUUUGAUGCUUAAUUUGUAAAAUCAUAACCUAAUUUAUGUUUAAUAGGCUUUUCCUUAAUCCCUCCUUAUUAUCCAACAUAUUCGCUUAUCCAACGUUCUGCCAGCCCGUUUAGCUUGGAUAAGUGAGACUCUACUGUAGCAUCCAGGGCAGACCCUGCUUAGCUUUGGUUGGCCUUCGGGGCCAUUUAUUUUUGUUGUUAGUUUAAAUCACUCAGGUUUGUCAAUGAAGGUAAUUAAAGUUCUUUCCUUAACCCAAUUUAAAAAGAACCCAGUGUCAAAAAUACAGUAGAGUCUCACUUAUCCAACGUUCUGGAUUAUCCAACACAUUUUUGUAGUCAAUGUUUUCAAUAUAUCAUGAUAUUUUGGUGCGAAAUUCGUAAAUACAGUAAUUACUACAUAGCAUUACUGCGUACUGAACUACUUUUUCUGCCAGAUUUGUUGUAUAACAUGAUGUUUUGGUGCUUAAUUUGUAAAAUCAUAACCUAAUUUGAUGUUUAAUAGGCUUCUCCUUAAUCUCUCCUUAUUAUCCAACAUAUUCGCUUAUCCAACGUUCUGCCGGCCCAUUUAUGUUGGAUAAGUGAGACUCUACUAUAUAUAUAAAACGCAGCUAAAGGCAGGAAUCGGUGUAAAUGGUUAAACAACGACGUGCCCAAAGGACAAGGGCUUUCCCUUGGCAUCUAAACGCAUUGGGAUGACCUCAGGUGACCCCCCUCUCGGACUCCUGUUUGGAGGCCACAGGGUCAUCCGAGGACAACAACGCUUCAUUGCAUUUACCAGCCCAUGACGAGAUCAGGAUCAAUGUAUAAACAGUUUUGUUUAGCUUCAUAGACUCCUAGAGUUGGAACAGACCUCGUGGGCCAUCCAGUCCAACCCCAUUCUGCCAAAAAGAAGGAAAAUCGCAUUUAAAGCACCCCCGACAGAUGGCCAUCCAGCCUCUGCUUAAAAGCCUCCACCACACUCCGAAGCAGUCAGUUCCACUGCUGAACAGCUCUCUCUCACAGUGAGGAAGUUCUUCCUAAUGUUCAGCUGGAAUCUACUGUAGUUUGAAUCCAUUGUUCUGUGUCCGAGUCUCUGGGGAAGCAGAAAACAAGCCUGCUCCCUCCUCCCUAUGACUUCCUCUCACAUUUAUACAUGCCUAUCUUUUCUCCUCUCUCUCUGGCUUCUCUUCUGCAGGCUAAACAUGCCCAGCUCUUUAAGCCGCUCCUCAUGGAGUUUGUUCUCCAGACCCUUGAUCAUUUUAGUCUCCCUCCUCUGGACACAUUCCAGCUUCUCAACAUCUCCCUUCAAUUGUGGUGCCCAGAAAUUGACACAGUAUUCCAGGUGUGGUCUGACCAAGGCAGAAUAGAUGGGGAGCAUGACUUCCCUGGAUCUAGGCACUAGGCUCCUAUUGAGGCAGGCUAAAAUCCCAUUGGCUUUUUUAGCCGCCACAUCACAUUGUUGGCUCAUGCUCACCUUCCUCCCUGUUGAAGUUCAUUGUGUUACUUUUGGCCAAUCAUUUCCCUAAUCUGUUAAGAUCGUUUUGAAUUCUGCUCCUAUCUCCUGGAGUAUUGGCUCUCCCUCCCAAUUUAGUCCCAUCUGCAAACUUGAUGAUCAUGCCUCCUCUGUGUUGUGACUCAACUGGAACCUCAGAAUGACUCUGAUGAGGAUGAUGGGAUUCAGGUUCACAAUCAGGUUCAAAAUGUCCCUGUUGUAGAAGACGAGGAACAGGGAGUGCAAGUUCAUUUUCCCACAGCAAGGAAUGAUGUUGAUGAUAUUGAAACUAGCCAGGUGCAAAUGGACUUGGGAAAGGAGGACAGUUCUCAGUCUGAUAAUGAGGCUCAGCAAACUAACGAGCAGGCUGACCUUGACUUAACAGGUUCCUUAGAUCGAGCUGACCGUUUGGAAUUCAGGGUUCGUAGGAGUGUGAGAAUUGCAAACAAGAGGGAGGUUAGAGGCCAGAGAAAUGCUUUCAUGCUUUGCAAAGGGUAUUAAAGCAAUGUGUUUGGAGACAAACUUUUGUCAAAACAACUUUCGUUUAACCAAGCAAGCUCUCAUUUUCCUGGAUUACCUUGCAGCUUUUGUGUUCAUGUUCUUGGGACUUUGUCAUACUCUAUGGGACCUUGUUUAUUCCUCGUGAUUUCUGUAUUUAUUCCCUAUGGCUUUAUUUUGUAACCAUUUUUUGGAACUUUACUUUUGUUUUUAGAGAACCUUUUAUCUUCUAUUUUCUAAUAAAUUAAAAAGAAUUCAA